GUGGGGAAUCUUCCGCAAUGGACGAAAGUCUGACGGAGCGACGCCGCGUGAGUGAAGAAGGCCUUCGGGUCGUAAAGCUCUGUCAUCAGGGACGAAUGGCCGGUGGAGUGGAAAGCCACCGGAUUGACGGUACCUGAGAAGGAAGCCACGGCUAACUACGUGCCAGCAGCCGCGGUAAUACGUAGGUGGCAAGCGUUGUCCGGAAUUAUUGGGCGUAAAGCGCGCGCAGGUGGGAUCUUAAGUCCAUUUUGAAAGUUCGGAGCUCAACUGCGUGAUGGGAUUGAAACUGGGAUUCUUGAGUACCGGAGAGGAAAGCGGAAUUCCCCGUGUAGCGGUGAAAUGCGUAGAUAUGGGGAGGAACACCAGUGGCGAAGGCGGCUUUCUGGACGGUGUCUGACACUGAGGCGCGAAAGCCAGGGGAGCGAACGGGAUUAGAUACCCGUGUAGUCC
rnacentral:rRNA from 1 species